rnacentral:rRNA from 1 species
GUGCAGCCGCCGCGGUAAUACGGAGGGUGCGAGCGUUAAUCGGAAUUACUGGGCGUAAAGGGCGCGUAGGCGGUCGCGCAAGUCGGGUGUGAAAGCCCCGGGCUCAACCUGGGAAUUGCAUUCGAUACUGCGUAACUAGAGUCUGGUAGAGGGAAGCGGAAUUCCGCAUGUAGCGGUGAAAUGCGUAGAUAUGCGGAGGAACACCAGUGGCGAAGGCGGCUUCCUGGACCAAGACUGACGCUGAGGCGCGAAAGCGUGGGGAGCAAACAGGAUUAGAUACCCUGGUAGUCCACGCCCUAAACGAUGAGGACUAGACGUUGGGGGGAUAAAACCCUUUAGUGUCGCAGCUAACGCGUGAAGUCCUCCGCCUGGGGAGUACGGCCGCAAGGUUGAAACUCAAAUGAAUUGACGG